rnacentral:lncRNA from 1 species
CGUGUCCCAUCAUCCAUUCUGUAACUUUAUUUUGCUAUGGUGUUCCUUGUAUAGUAUGAUACUCUCUAUACCUUUAUUCUUAUAAAACUUGUCAAAUUCAUCUAAAUAAUACUCAAAGCUAUUAUUGAUUCUCAGUAUUUUAAUCUUCUUUGUAGUCUGCUUGUUAACCAAAUAUUUCUAUUGUUUAAAUUUGACAUCACUUUAUCAUUAUUUUUAGAAAAUAUAUCUAGACCUUUUUAAAAUAAUCA